GACAAGGAAAGAGUUUUGUAUAAUUUUUUGUUUUAUUUUAUUAAUUUCACCAAAAUCCUUUCUAUUAUGUGUUUUGACUUAUUUUUAUGAUUAUUUUUAUGUUAUGUCAACAUUAUUUAACAUUGUUUUCAGAAUGAGGUAACCUUAUUUAUUAAUUUUGGCUUCACAUUUUAUGGUUAUUUUAUUCUCAUAGUCAGCACUUUUAUUUUGAAGUUCCAUGAUGUCGGUUGUGAUGUCAGAUCCGCCUCUCCUCAGUGAUCGUUAACCUGAUGGAGAGCGGUAGCCGGUCGUGGAAAUGUGUAAACGCUCACACUCAGAAUGUCACAUUACAGGUAUGGGUGCAGCUGAUUGUUUAUGGAGGAAUGUUUAGUUUAAAAUUUAUUUCAUUUCAAAGUCUCAGUGAUCGUUAACCUGAUGGAGAGCGGUAGCCGGUCGUGGAAAUGUGUAAACGCUCACACUCAGAAUGUCACAUUACAGAUUGUGGGGAACAGAAUAAAGAAAAUUCACGUGGCAGCA